rnacentral:rRNA from 1 species
AUACGGAGGGUGUGAGCGUUAAUCGGAAUUACUGGGCGUAAAGCGCGCGUAGGCGGUUUGGUCAGUCGGAUGUGAAAGCUCCAGGCUCAACCUGGGAAUGGCAUUCGAUACUGCCUGACUAGAGUAUGGUAGAGGGAAGUGGAAUUUCCGGUGUAGCGGUGAAAUGCGUAGAUAUCGGAAGGAACACCAGUGGCGAAGGCGACUUCCUGGGCCAAUACUGACGCUAAGGUGCGAAAGCGUGGGGAGCAAACAGGAUUAGAAACCCGAGUAGUCC